UACGUGAAACUGAGUUGAUUGAAAUUGGACGAGACCGAAAAGUCCGGACGGAUAGACUCAGGUUUACCGCGCCGGAGCCCGUGCGGGGAAGUUGGUCGAGAAGCGUCUCGCUCUGCGUUGCGCGCUCUGCCUCGGAACCGCGCGUGUUUGCGUCCGGUGCGGGACUCUGCACUUCUAUCCUAGUAGGAGGUCGCGACCCGUUGGGCGGUCGGCUUGCGGGCCCCGGGUGGUAGCACGCUUGUCUCGAAAGAGACCUGCGAACCCCGGGUGGCCCAGUCAGCCCCCGACGGUAUCAUAUAAUCUGGGGAAGGGACCGCUCCCUCGGGAGCGUCCCGCCGCAAGGCGGGUCAGGUCCUCGAACCGGUCGGCGGCUUUAUUGUUUUUGGUACUCGCCCGCCCCGUCUUGAAACACGGACCAAGGAGUCUAGCAUGUGCGCAAGUCAUUGGGUGUUAAACCUAAAGGCGCAACUAAAGUAAAGUCCCCGAGACUCAGGGCGCCUCGCGCGUCCUCUCUCGUGGGACCGGGGUGAUGGCCGGCGCUGCUUCCGCAUCCGGCCCGCAACCCCGGGAUGUCUCUGUCUCGCCGAGACUUGAUGUCCUCUGAGCGUACAUGUUGGUACCCGAAAGAUGGUGACCUAUGCCUGGCCAGGACGAAGUCAGGGGAAACCCUGAUGGAGGUCCGAAGCGGUUCUGACGUGCAAAUCGAUCGCAUGAGCUGGGUAUAGGGGCGAAAGACUAAUCGAACCGUC
rnacentral:rRNA from 1 species